rnacentral:rRNA from 1 species
GAUGAACGCUGGCGGCGUGCCUAAUACAUGCAAGUCGAGCGAAUGGAUUAAGAGCUUGCUCUUAUGAAGUUAGCGGCGGACGGGUGAGUAACACGUGGGUAACCUGCCCAUAAGACUGGGAUAACUCCGGGAAACCGGGGCUAAUACCGGAUAACAUUUUGAACCGCAUGGUUCGAAAUUGAAAGGCGGCUUCGGCUGUAACUUAUGGAUGGACCCGCGUCGCAUUAGCUAGUUGGUGAGGUAACGGCUCACCAAGGCAACGAUGCGUAGCCGACCUGAGAGGGUGAUCAGCCACACUGGGACUGAGACACGGCCCAGACUCCGACGGGAGGCAGCAGUAGGGAAUCGUCCGCAAUGGACGAAAGUCUGACGGAGCAACGCCGCGUGAGUGAUGAAGGCUUUCGGGUCGUAAAACUCUGUUGUUAGGGAAGAACAAGUGCUAGUUGAAUAAGCUGGCACCUUGACGGUACCUAACCAGAAAGCCACGGCUAACUACGUGCCAGCCGCCGCGGUAA